GCCGGUUGUGGGUGUCGCACACCUGUAAUCCCAGUGAUGUGGGAGGCUCAGGCAGGAGGAUCAUGAGUUCAAAGCCAGCCUCAGCAGAGGUGAGGUGCUGAGCAACUCAGUGAGACCCUGUCUCUA
rnacentral:sRNA from 1 species